rnacentral:rRNA from 1 species
CAGUCGAGCGAAUGGAUUAAGAGCUUGCUCUUAUGAAGUUAGCGGCGGACGGGUGAGUAACACGUGGGUAACCUGCCCAUAAGACUGGGAUAACUCCGGGAAACCGGGGCUAAUACCGGAUAACAUUUUGAACCGCAUGGUUCGAAAUUGAAAGGCGGCUUCGGCUGUCACUUAUGGAUGGACCCGCGUCGCAUUAGCUAGUUGGUGAGGUAACGGCUCACCAAGGCAACGAUGCGUAGCCAACCUGAGAGGGUGAUCGGCCACACUGGGACUGAGACACCGCCCACACUCCUACGGGAGGCAGCAUAAUGGAAUCUUCCCCAAUGGACGAAAGUCUGACGGAGCAACGCCGCGUGAGUGAUGAAGGCUUUCGGGUCUUAAAACUCUGUUGUAAGGGAAGAACAAUUGCUACUUGAAUAAUCUGGCACCUUGACGGAACCUAACCCGAAAGCCUCCGCUAACUACGUGCCAGCAGCCGCGGUAAUACAUACGUGGCAAGCAUUAUCCGGAAUUAUUGGGCGUAAAGCGCGCGCAGGUGGUUUCAUGUGUCUGAUGUGAAAUCCCACGGCUCACCCGUGGAGGGUCAUUGGAAACUGGGAGACUUGAGUGCAGAAGAGGAAAGUGGAAUUCCAUGUGUAGCGGUGAAAUGUGUAGAGAUAUGGAGGAACACCAGUGGCGAACGCGACUUUCUGGUCUGUAACUGACCCUGAGGCGCGAAAGCGUGGGGAGCAAAC